GAAGCCCAGAAUCAAAAUGGACACUCAGUUGGAGCAGCCACACUAGCCUGCCAGACAUAGGUGACAUAUCCAAGUGCUUGUCCUUCAUCAGAUGUUUCUAUAAGCAGCAGAGCAGAAAGCUAUAAUAUGUAUUCAUUCGUAAUGUGUCAUUCUGAAUGUAUUAAGGACAACUGACUACACAUGUCACAGGUAAUUAUUCUAAGGAGUAACAGUCAUAUCAUUUUAAGUACCCUUGUAUGCAAUUAUCUCUAUGGAGGAAUAAAAAGAACAGGUACUUCUGGAACAGAGGCUACAUCUUCUUCCAAGUUUUUAAUGGGUUCAGAACAUUUUGGCCAUGUCUACAUGAUAAAAAUAAAAUGUUUUCCCCACUCAAAGCAAUUGCAGAUUUGUGAAUGUGGGGUGUGUGUGUGUGUGUGUGUGAGAGAGAGAGAGCGAGAGAUAGAGAGAGAGAAAGAGAGAGAGAGAGAGAGAGAGAGAGAGAGAAAUGCAAAAAUGGCUAACCUCCCCCUGACCUACCUUCUCAUUUCUGAGACUGAAACUGAAAAUCCCUUGCUUGGGACACUAGGGAUCUGUUCUGUCUGGGCAUGCAGCCAUAUUGGGGCAUGCCCAAGGGGACUGUGCCUGAGCUCCUAA
rnacentral:lncRNA from 1 species